UUAAGCGACUAAGCGUACACGGUGGAUGCCCUGGCAGUCAGAGGCGAUGAAGGACGUGCUAAUCUGCGAUAAGCGUCGGUAAGGUGAUAUGAACCGUUAUAACCGGCGAUUUCCGAAUGGGGAAACCCAGUGUGUUUCGACACACUAUCAUUAACUGAAUCCAUAGGUUAAUGAGGCGAACCGGGGGAACUGAAACAUCUAAGUACCCCGAGGAAAAGAAAUCAACCGAGAUUCCCCCAGUAGCGGCGAGCGAACGGGGAGCAGCCCAGAGCCUGAAUCAGUGUGUGUGUUAGUGGAAGCGUCUGGAAAGGCGCGCGAUACAGGGUGACAGCCCCGUACACAAAAAUGCACAUGCUGUGAGCUCGAUGAGUAGGGCGGGACACGUGGUAUCCUGUCUGAAUAUGGGGGGACCAUCCUCCAAGGCUAAAUACUCCUGACUGACCGAUAGUGAACCAGUACCGUGAGGGAAAGGCGAAAAGAACCCCGGCGAGGGGAGUGAAAAAGAACCUGAAACCGUGUACGUACAAGCAGUGGGAGCCUCUUUAUGGGGUGACUGCGUACCUUUUGUAUAAUGGGUCAGCGACUUAUAUUCUGUAGCAAGGUUAACCGAAUAGGGGAGCCGAAGGGAAACCGAGUCUUAACUGGGCGUUAAGUUGCAGGGUAUAGACCCGAAACCCGGUGAUCUAGCCAUGGGCAGGUUGAAGGUUGGGUAACACUAACUGGAGGACCGAACCGACUAAUGUUGAAAAAUUAGCGGAUGACUUGUGGCUGGGGGUGAAAGGCCAAUCAAACCGGGAGAUAGCUGGUUCUCCCCGAAAGCUAUUUAGGUAGCGCCUCGUGAAUUCAUCUCCGGGGGUAGAGCACUGUUUCGGCAAGGGGGUCAUCCCGACUUACCAACCCGAUGCAAACUGCGAAUACCGGAGAAUGUUAUCACGGGAGACACACGGCGGGUGCUAACGUCCGUCGUGAAGAGGGAAACAACCCAGACCGCCAGCUAAGGUCCCAAAGUCAUGGUUAAGUGGGAAACGAUGUGGGAAGGCCCAGACAGCCAGGAUGUUGGCUUAGAAGCAGCCAUCAUUUAAAGAAAGCGUAAUAGCUCACUGGUCGAGUCGGCCUGCGCGGAAGAUGUAACGGGGCUAAACCAUGCACCGAAGCUGCGGCAGCGACGCUUAUGCGUUGUUGGGUAGGGGAGCGUUCUGUAAGCCUGUGAAGGUGUGCUGUGAGGCAUGCUGGAGGUAUCAGAAGUGCGAAUGCUGACAUAAGUAACGAUAAAGCGGGUGAAAAGCCCGCUCGCCGGAAGACCAAGGGUUCCUGUCCAACGUUAAUCGGGGCAGGGUGAGUCGACCCCUAAGGCGAGGCCGAAAGGCGUAGUCGAUGGGAAACAGGUUAAUAUUCCUGUACUUGGUGUUACUGCGAAGGGGGGACGGAGAAGGCUAUGUUGGCCGGGCGACGGUUGUCCCGGUUUAAGCGUGUAGGCUGGUUUUCCAGGCAAAUCCGGAAAAUCAAGGCUGAGGCGUGAUGACGAGGCACUACGGUGCUGAAGCAACAAAUGCCCUGCUUCCAGGAAAAGCCUCUAAGCAUCAGGUAACAUCAAAUCGUACCCCAAACCGACACAGGUGGUCAGGUAGAGAAUACCAAGGCGCUUGAGAGAACUCGGGUGAAGGAACUAGGCAAAAUGGUGCCGUAACUUCGGGAGAAGGCACGCUGAUAUGUAGGUGAAGUCCCUUGCGGAUGGAGCUGAAAUCAGUCGAAGAUACCAGCUGGCUGCAACUGUUUAUUAAAAACACAGCACUGUGCAAACACGAAAGUGGACGUAUACGGUGUGACGCCUGCCCGGUGCCGGAAGGUUAAUUGAUGGGGUCAGCGCAAGCGAAGCUCUUGAUCGAAGCCCCGGUAAACGGCGGCCGUAACUAUAACGGUCCUAAGGUAGCGAAAUUCCUUGUCGGGUAAGUUCCGACCUGCACGAAUGGCGUAAUGAUGGCCAGGCUGUCUCCACCCGAGACUCAGUGAAAUUGAACUCGCUGUGAAGAUGCAGUGUACCCGCGGCAAGACGGAAAGACCCCGUGAACCUUUACUAUAGCUUGACACUGAACAUUGAGCCUUGAUGUGUAGGAUAGGUGGGAGGCUUUGAAGUGUGGACGCCAGUCUGCAUGGAGCCGACCUUGAAAUACCACCCUUUAAUGUUUGAUGUUCUAACGUUGACCCGUAAUCCGGGUUGCGGACAGUGUCUGGUGGGUAGUUUGACUGGGGCGGUCUCCUCCUAAAGAGUAACGGAGGAGCACGAAGGUUGGCUAAUCCUGGUCGGACAUCAGGAGGUUAGUGCAAUGGCAUAAGCCAGCUUGACUGCGAGCGUGACGGCGCGAGCAGGUGCGAAAGCAGGUCAUAGUGAUCCGGUGGUUCUGAAUGGAAGGGCCAUCGCUCAACGGAUAAAAGGUACUCCGGGGAUAACAGGCUGAUACCGCCCAAGAGUUCAUAUCGACGGCGGUGUUUGGCACCUCGAUGUCGGCUCAUCACAUCCUGGGGCUGAAGUAGGUCCCAAGGGUAUGGCUGUUCGCCAUUUAAAGUGGUACGCGAGCUGGGUUUAGAACGUCGUGAGACAGUUCGGUCCCUAUCUGCCGUGGGCGCUGGAGAACUGAGGGGGGCUGCUCCUAGUACGAGAGGACCGGAGUGGACGCAUCACUGGUGUUCGGGUUGUCAUGCCAAUGGCACUGCCCGGUAGCUAAAUGCGGAAGAGAUAAGUGCUGAAAGCAUCUAAGCACGAAACUUGCCCCGAGAUGAGUUCUCCCUGAC
rnacentral:rRNA from 1 species